GCCGUUCUCAGUUCGGAUCGGAGUCUGCAACCCGACUCCGUGAAGCUGGAUUCGCUAGUAAUCGCGCAUCAGCCAUGGCGCGGUGAAUACGUUCCCGGGCCUUGUACACACCGCCCGUCAAGCCAUGGGAGCCGGGGGUGCUUGAAGUGCGUCGCCGCAAGGCGCGCCCUAGAGCAAAACCGGUGACUGGGGCUAAGUCGUAACAAGGUACC
rnacentral:rRNA from 1 species